UACAGAGGUCCCGAGCGUUGUUCGGAUUCACUGGGCGUAAAGGGUGCGUAGGCGGCAGGGUAAGUCUGAUGUGAAAUCUCCGGGCUUAACCCGGAAAUGGCAUUGAAUACUAUCCUGCUCGAGGGUUGGAGGGGGGACUGGAAUUCUCGGUGUAGCAGUGAAAUGCGUAGAUAUCGAGAGGAACACCAGUGGCGAAGGCGAGUCCCUGGACAACUCCUGACACUAAGGCACGAAAGCUAGGGGAGCAAACAGG
rnacentral:rRNA from 1 species